GAUGAACGCUGGCGGCGUGCCUAAUACAUGCAAGUCGAGAGAACGGACGAGAAGCUUGCUUCUCUGAUGUUAGCGGUGGACGGGUGAGUAACACGUGGAUAACCUACCUAUAAGACUGGGAUAACUUCGGGAAACCGGAGCUAAUACCGGAUGAUAUUUUGAACCGCAUGGUUCAAAAGUGAAAGACGGUCUUGCUGUCACUUAUAGAUGGAUCCGCGCUGCAUUAGCUAGUUGGUAAGGUAACGGCUUACCAAGGCAACGAUGCAUAGCCGACCUGAGAGGGUGAUCGGCCACACUGGAACUGAGACACGGUCCAGACUCCUACGGGAGGCAGCAGUAGGGAAUCUUCCGCAAUGGGCGAAAGCCUGACGGAGCAACGCCGCGUGAGUGAUGAAGGUCUUCGGAUCGUAAAACUCUGUUAUUAGGGAAGAACAUAUGUGUAAGUAACUGUGCACAUCUUGACGGUACCUAAUCAGAAAGCCACGGCUAACUACGUG
rnacentral:rRNA from 1 species